rnacentral:rRNA from 1 species
AACGAACGCUGGCGGCAUGCCUAACACAUGCAAGUCGAACGAAGCCUUCGGGCUUAGUGGCGCACGGGUGCGUAACGCGUGGGAAUCUGCCCUUGGGUUCGGAAUAACAGUUAGAAAUGACUGCUAAUACCGGAUGAUGUUUUCGGACCAAAGAUUUAUCGCACAAGGAUGAGCCCGCGUAGGAUUAGGGAGUUGGGUGGGUAAUGGCCCACCAAGCCGACGAUUCUUAGCUGGUCUGAGAGGAUGGUCAGCCAAACUGGGGCUGAGACACGGCCCAGAGUCCCACGGGAGGCAACAGUGGGGAAUAUUGGACAAUGGGCUAAAGGCUGAUCCAGCAAUGCCGCGUGAGUGAUGAAGGCCUUAGGGUUGUAAAGCUCUUUUACCAGGGAUGAUAAUGACAGUACCUGGAGAAUAAGCUCCGGCUAACUCCGUGCCAGCCGCCGCUGUAA